CAGUCGAGCGGUAGAGAGAAGCUUGCUUCUCUUGAGAGCGGCGGACGGGUGAGUAAUGCCUAGGAAUCUGCCUGGUAGUGGGGGAUAACGUUCGGAAACGGACGCUAAUACCGCAUACGUCCUACGGGAGAAAGCAGGGGACCUUCGGGCCUUGCGCUAUCAGAUGAGCCUAGGUCGGAUUAGCUAGUUGGUGAGGUAAUGGCUCACCAAGGCUACGAUCCGUAACUGGUCUGAGAGGAUGAUCAGUCACACUGGAACUGAGACACGGUCCAGACUCCUACGGGAGGCAGCAGUGGGGAAUAUUGGACAAUGGGCGAAAGCCUGAUCCAGCCAUGCCGCGUGUGUGAAGAAGGUCUUCGGAUUGUAAAGCACUUUAAGUUGGGAGGAAGGGCAGUUACCUAAUACGUGAUUGUUUUGACGUU
rnacentral:rRNA from 1 species